rnacentral:rRNA from 1 species
GAUGAACGCUGACAGAAUGCUUAACACAUGCAAGUCAACUUGAACUUCGGUUUGGGUGGCGGACGGGUGAGUAACGCGUAAAGAACUUGCCUCACAGUUAGGGACAACAUUUGGAAACGAAUGCUAAUACCUGAAAUUAAUGAUUUUAGGGCAUCCUAGAAUUAUGAGAGCUAUAUGCGCUGUGAGAGAGCUUUGCGUCCCAUUAGCUAGUUGGAGAGGUAACGGCCCACCAAGGCGAUGAUGGGUAGCCGGCCUGAGAGGGUGAACGGCCACAAGGGGACUGAGACACGGCCCUUACUCCUACGGGAGGCAGCAGUGGGGAAUAUUGGACAAUGGACCAAGAGUCUGAUCCAGCAAUUCUGUGUGCACGAUGAAGUUUUUCGGAAUGUAAAGUGCUUUCAGUUGGGAAGAAAAAAAUGACGGUACCAACAGAAGAAGUGACGGCUAAAUACGUGCCAGCAGCCGCGGUAAUACGUAUGUCACAAGCGUUAUCCGGAUUUAUUGGGCGUAAAGCGCGUCUAGGUGGUUAUAUAAGUCUGAUGUGAAAAUGCAGGGCUCAACUCUGUAUUGCGUUGGAAACUGUGUAACUAGAGUACUGGAGAGGUAAGCGGAACUAUAAGUGGAGAGGUGAAAUUCGUAGAUAUUUGUAGGAAUGCCCAUGGGGAACCCAGCUACUGGACGAUACUGACGCUGAAGCGCGAAAUCGUGGGUAGCAACAGG